AACGAACGCUGGCGGCAUGCCUAACACAUGCAAGUCGAACGAACCCUUCGGGGUUAGUGGCGCACGGGUGCGUAACGCGUGGGAACCCGCCUUUAGGUUCGGAAUAACUCAGAGAAAUUUGAGCUAAUACCGGAUAAUGUCUUCGGACCAAAGAUUUAUCGCCUUUAGAUGGGCCCGCGUUAGAUUAGAUAGUUGGUGGGGUAAUGGCCUACCAAGUCGACGAUCUAUAGCUGGUCUGAGAGGAUGAUCAGCCACACUGGGACUGAGACACGGCCCAGACUCCUACGGGAGGCAGCAGUGGGGAAUAUUGACAAUGGGCGAAAGCCUGAUCCAGCAAUGCCGCGUGAGUGAUGAAGGCCUUAGGGUUGUAAAGCUCUUUUACCAGGGAUGAUAAUGACAGUACCUGGAGAAUAAGCUCCGGCUAACUCCGUGCCAGCAGCCGCGGUAAUACGGAGGGAGCUAGCGUUGUUCGGAAUUACUGGGCGUAAAGCGCGCGUAGGCGGUCG
rnacentral:rRNA from 1 species